GCCAGAGCCAUAUCACCCUGCAGCUCUCGCCUGGUUUCCCACUGAAUCUAAGCAGGGUUGAGGCUGGUCAGUACCUGGAUGGGAGACCUCCUGGGGAAAACUAAGGUUGCUGCUGGAA
rnacentral:rRNA from 1 species